rnacentral:rRNA from 1 species
GGGGAGCGGCGGACGGGUGAGUAACGCGUGGGAAUUUUCCUCAAGGUACGGAACAACUCAGGGAAACUUGGGCUAAUACCGUAUGAUGUCUAGCGACCAAAGAUUUAUCGCCUUGGGAUAAGCCCGCGUCAGAUUAGGUAGUUGGUGGGGUAACGGCCUACCAAGCCUGCGAUCUGUAGCUGGUCUGAGAGGACGAUCAGCCACACUGGAACUGAGACACGGCCCAGACUCCUACGGGAGGCAGCAGUGGGGAAUCUUGCGCAAUGGGCGAAAGCCUGACGCAGCCAUGCCGCGUGAAUGAUGAAGGUCUUAGGAUUGUAAAGUUCUUUCGCCCGUGACGAUGAUGACGGUAACGGGAGAAGAAGCCCCGGCUAACUUCGUGCCAGCAGCCGCGGUAAUACGAAGGGGGCUAGCGUUGUUCGGAAUUACUGGGCGUAAAGCGCGCGUAGGCGGUUUUGCAAGCCAGAGGUGAAAUGCCUGAGCUCAACUUAGGAAUUGCCUUUGGGACUGCGAGGCUUUGAGGACUGGAGAGGUGAGUGGAAUUCCCAGUGUAGAGGUGAAAUUCGUAGAUAUUGGGAAGAACACCAGUGGCGAAGGCGGCUCACUGGCCAGUUUCUGACGCUGCAGCGCGAAAGCGUGGGGAUCAAACAGGAUUAGAUACCCUGGUAGUCCACGCUGUAAACGAUGAGUGCUAGGCGUCGGCACGCUUGCGUGUCGGUGCCGCAGCUAACGCGUGAAGCACUCCGCCUGGGGAGUACGGUCGCAAGAUUAAAACUCAAAGGAAUUGACGGGGGCCCGCACAAGCGGUGG